rnacentral:tRNA from 3 species
GCCCCGGUAUCCCAAUUGGUAGAGGAAACAGCCUCAAAAUCUGUGCAGUGUGGGUUCGAGUCCCACCCGGGGCACAA